AAAAGGUUAACGAUUUGGAUCAUUUUGGAAGAUACGUACGCCGCGCUUUUCAAAGCGGACAGACGUGCCCUUGUCCAACUUGACAAAGGCGGAAUUAUUUUAGGAAAGACCAUGGCAACUAGUAAAGCAGAAUCCGAGAAUUCAAUCGGCGGCUGUAUGUUGACUGACAAGAAUAUAAUUGCUGUUAAUCCGGCCCUGCUUCGUGUACAAAUGCAUAGUGGGGAGACAUGAACAUUUUUUGAAAUUGCGGCCCUAUCCUCUUGGGAUUCUACGUUGGACAAAUUCUGAAAACGACCCCAGAAAUAUAAUUGAGGUUCAAACCCGUGCGAGGUGAGCUUUCAUAUAUGAAACAGACCAGUCAUGGGGACACGAGAUAUGGAAAGUUUCAGCGUAGUCGUCGCCACAUUGCUGCCAACACUGCAUAUAUAAGGAAUCACGAACCAUUCAGGAAUAUUGAGACUUAGACCAGUAUCUUUUUAAGUCGGCAUGUGGGGUAAAGAAGACGCGG